rnacentral:tRNA from 1 species
GAAGGUAUAGCUCAGUGGUUGAGUGUGUGCUUAGCACGCACAAGGUCCCGGGUUCAAUUCCCAGUACCUCUA